GGUUCUCACUUCUCUGACGGCUGUGGGGGAGAAAACCUGAUCAAUCGUUGAUCCAAGGAAAAAAGUGGGAGAUUCCAUUCGAACCACCCAAGGACUGUAGUCUUUCAGAAAGUUCUAGGACUCCGCCUGUUAGAGGUCAGAGCACACGUGGGUGGUCCGAUCCCAGGCAGGACGGGUGAACUCACUGGCCGCUGGUGAUUAACUCAGCGUCCGUCCCCCCGAGGUCGGGGCUGGGACCACACUCUCCGAGCCUCUGAGGGGAGCAGUGCUCCAUAUCCACGUGUGGGGAGACCCUCCGGCUUAGCCACAAGUUAACCUGCGCUCGAUGCCUCUAAAACAGCCCACCUGCCGCACAUCAGACACACAGUACGUCUGCUUUAACUGGUGAAGAAAGAGAUGCUUUGAC
ensembl:lncRNA